rnacentral:lncRNA from 1 species
GCCCAGUGAGUAGAAACAAAGAAAACAGUUCAUUAAUUACAUGCUUUCAUGAAAUGCGUCAUAGCACAAACAAUUCACAUCACGGAUUGGACCUAACCCCAAAACUCCCUAAGCUAUUUGCCCGGCCCCCAUAAAGGGCACCACAGGACUUCGUAAUGCCUGGCCCAGCCAGGUCUUAUCCAUAGGGAUAGUGAGGUCGCCUUGGUCCCUCCACAUCAACAGUAAAUAAUGCAAUGCUUCAUAUUCGUGUAACUAGUGCAAUCAACCUAUUACAUAUAAACAUGAUGCAUGA